rnacentral:rRNA from 1 species
CGUGCCUAAUACAUGCAAGUCGAACGGUCUUUCUAUGGAAGCUUGCUUCCACUGAGAAGAUAGUGGCGAACGGGUGAGUAACACGUGGGUAACCCUGCCCAUAAGAGGGGGGAUAACAUCCGGAAACGGGUGCUAAUACCGCAUAGUUUUCUUGAUUGCAUGAUUGAGAAAGGAAAGACGGCCUUUGUGCUGUCGCUUAUGGAUGGACCCGCGGCGUAUUAGUUAGUUGGUGAGGUAACGGCUCACCAAGACGAUGAUACGUAGCCGACCUGAGAGGGUGAUCGGCCACAUUGGGACUGAGACACGGCCCAAACUCCUACGGGAGGCAGCAGUAGGGAAUCUUCCGCAAUGGACGAAAGUCUGACGGAGCAACGCCGCGUGAGUGAAGAAAAGGUUUUUCGGAUCGUAAAACUCUGUUGUCAGAGAAGAACAAGUUGGAGAGUAACUGCUCCAGCCUUGACGGUAUCUGACCAGAAAGCCACGGCUAACUACGUGCCAGCCGCAGC